rnacentral:ncRNA from 1 species
GGAUUUCUGGAGAAGCUCACAAUACGUGGGUGCCGAAGGUGCAAGGCCGCAAGGCCAAAUCUCUCAGGCAAAAGGACAGAAGU